CCUACGGGAGGCAGCAGUAGGGAAUCUUCCACAAUGGGCGAAAGCCUGAUGGAGCAACGCCGCGUGGGUGAAGAAGGCCCUCGGAUCGUAAAACUCUGUUGUUAGAGAAGUAAGUGCGUGAGAGUAACUGUUCACGUUUCGACGGUAUCUAACCAGAAAGCCACGGCUAACUACGUGCCAGCAGCCGCGGUAAUACGUAGGUGGCGAGCGUUAUCCGGAUUUAUUGGGCGUAAAGGGAACGCAGGUGGGAUUUUAAGUCUGAUGUGAAAGCCUUCGGCUUAACCGGAGUAGUGCAUUGGAGACUGGGAGACUUGAGUGCAGAAGAGGAGGGCGGAACUCGAUGUGUAGCGGUGAAAUGCGUAGAUAUAUGGAAGAACACCAGUGGCGAAAGCAGCUCACUGGUCUGUAACUGACGCUGAGGUUCGAAAGCGUGGGUAGCAAACAGGAUUAGAUACCCUAGUAGUC
rnacentral:rRNA from 1 species